UACGUAGGGUGCGAGCGUUAAUCGGAAUUACUGGGCGUAAAGCGUGCGCAGGCGGCUUUGCAAGACAGAUGUGAAAUCCCCGGGCUUAACCUGGGAACUGCGUUUGAAACUGGAAGGCUUGAGUGUGGCAGAGGGGGGUGGAAUUCCACGUGUAGCAGUGAAAUGCGUAGAGAUGUGGAGGAACACCGAUGGCGAAGGCAGCCCCCUGGGCUAACACUGACGCUCAUGCACGAAAGCGUGGGGAGCAAACAGG
rnacentral:rRNA from 1 species